rnacentral:sRNA from 1 species
AUUUUUUUCUAUAUGUUGAAUAGAUUCAACACCUAAAAAUCUAAUGCAAAUUUUUUUUCAACAGGUCCAAUGCAAGCAGUUUUAGUCACAUGCAGUUAAAGUAUUAAAUCCUUCUACUUAUAAAUAUUUUAUUCCUACUUAAUAGCAUGUAUGUAUUUUGGCAAAAAAAUGCUAAAUCGGAGAUGAAGUUAAAAUAUAUAUUGUGCGCUCUAAUAUCAAAUUAAGAAUUAUAUUUCGUCCAAGCUACUUAGUACGUACAUGUUGUAUUCACUAGUUGUCCUUCCUUUCUUCUUUUCCAUGGUCACAAUUUGGUUCAUUGUUUCUUCUAAGGGAUUGAGCAAUCACGGUUUUUCGGGAGAGUGUUUUUUGGGCAAUAUCUCUUUAUAUAUUUAAGAAUGCUAAAAUGUAGUAUUUUUGUUGGUUCUUGUUUCAUUGCCAACAUUGUACGAGGCGUGAUGAAGGCAGUGAAGAGAAUAAGGGUAGUUUCGUAGACAUAGUAGUUGAAGAGCUAAAGCUAAGAGAAGACGAAUAACACACAUACAUGUUGCUAAGAAAGGAGCGUCUUCGCAAGGGAGAAAUCCGAGGUGAUUCGAGCUAGGCAAAGAGGAUGGAAAGAUGUAAUUGUGUUUUCAAAUCAUAUAUAUGAAAGGAGGUGACCUAUCUCCAUAUGAAUGACAUGUUACACCAUAGAGAUGAUAUUUUCUGUAUUCUCUCAUCUUAUUCGGAAACCUAAAAAGGUAUGGUGAAAAAUAUAAGAAUAGAAGAAUGAGAAAAUGGAGGCUUCUUAAACUAAUUUUAAAUUGUAUUUGCUUAAUUUAGGACUUGAAAAUAUAUUCUGUAUAUUUUGAAGAUUAGUGAAAUUAAUGGGUAAUUUUCUCAGACAUGGAAAUCUUGUUUUAUUGUUUUU